rnacentral:lncRNA from 1 species
CACUGUAAAACCGGUUUAACAUGUGACAACUGACACCUCAGGAGGCAAGGUGUGGCAAGUCUCUCACUCUCACUGUUCAGCAAGGGUGAACAAGACUUCCUGUCACAAGCUCUACAGUCCCAGUUUACUGCAACAUCGUCUCUGAGGGCUGGCUAAUCUCCCUUGUCCAUGGCUUCUUGUUCCAGGCAGCUUCCCUGUCCCAUGUGUAUGGGGACUGGAGAUACAUUUCUCACCACCAUUAGAGCAAGGAAUGAAGACAUAACGCACAGAGAAGACCUUUUUCAGUCACUGGGAAUAAGGAGUACCAAAUGCUCUGCCUUAGGAGCCAGGAUCGUAUUAAGUGGCAGCUCUCCUUCUCCAUGGUAACAUCCUGUAGCACAUUUUAUGUUCUUGAAACAGAUUUCUGUCACAUCAGCAGCAAACUCAAUACUGAGAUGAAGAGAGACAUGGACUAAAUACGGGUAAUGAAAUUGGACUAAUCUUACAGCUUUUGCUCCCUAUAGGGCUCUUUCCUUUCCUUGCCAUCUGAAUUCCUGGCCAUACCCUAGGCCAUCUUAAAAUCCACUUAGCUAGAUUUAACAUCUACAGGAGGUUGAUUUACUGUGAGACAUUCUCCUCUGGUAUUUAACAAGUGGAAAAAAGUUCUGCAGUCUGCAUGUAAUUCAGUAGGUAGGAUGAUACUGCAGCUGCCGCUAGCAAAGGAAACUCCAGUGCUUUGACUGAAAUCUCAGUUUAUACUGGGGAGAGAUUUUAGAAACUAGGUUCUAAGGAUAGCUGAUGUGAUCCAUUCAUACUGACUUCCCUUCCUGAAGUAGUCUGUCCAUGGGAGAAAGAGUAGAUGGUUAGUAUACAUGAAUCAUAUUUCUCCCGUUUCUUUCAGCAUGCUGUGAGAGAUUGUCAAAGCAAUGUGGCAGAACCAGACUGAAGCAGAGGGUUAAUACAGAGAAACGAAAAAGAAUUAUAAUAAUGCAGCAAAAUGGAAAGAGUUAACAUAUCUGGAGCAGGUGGUGGUUAUGGAUCAGUACUGAUGAACUGGGAACACGCCUGUGCUAGAAGACAGCAGUGGUAUAGGCUGAUUUGUGUGACUUCUCCUCCCUGCAAUACUCAGUCUAUUGCUGCCAUUUGAACCAUAUGUUGUGCCAGGUUCAGUCAUGCCUGAUUUAUGACACCUAUGACAGGAGCUGCAUCAGUGGAAGCUUUUAAUUCCGCUAUUGAGAAGUGGUCUUUAUUGCAAAAGAACCAUGUAACUGAAUUUUGACCACAUACCCCCCCACCAAAACAGCCACUCUUGCAGUUGAAUCUUCUCACUGCUCCAUCUGCACUUAGCAUCUCCAGCUACUGCCUGUAGCAGCUGAAGAUAAAUUUUCCACCUCCAGCGGAAGAAGGAUAGGAGGCAAUAUGGGCAGUAUUGUACUGUGGAUGGACAGCAAAUAAGGACAAGGAGCCUUCCCAAGUUCUCCCCAGUCUCAAUGCUAGUAUCUGGGAUCACAACAACAGCAAACUUUUCAGUUGGGUGUUGAAAGGAAGCUGAAAUUGCUCCAUUCAAGCAAUCUCCCUGCUUUGGCCUAAUUGGCUUAUAGCGAUAAGUAGAGAGUGUGUAUGAAUAGAUUAGACCAGAUACUUCUCUAGGUUACUGUUCAGGUAACUGUUCAGGUUGGAUGAUGAUGGUGUGAAACUGAAGCUGAACUGUUUUCAGCCGGCAGUGCUGAACCCAGGGACUGUUUUAACAUGAAUAAAAUAGUCCAGAACAAUUAAAUAAAAAAUGUG